rnacentral:rRNA from 1 species
UGGCGGAGAUAGCGCGGUGGUCCCACCUGACCCCAUGCCGAACUCAGAAGUGAAACGCCGUAGCGCUGAUGGUAGUGUGGGGUCUCCCAUGCGAGAGUAGGGAACUGCCAGGCA